GACCAGAGAAAGACAUGAGCAGGAGUGUGUAGGUGAUUGUGCCCUAGAUAUGUGGAAAGGCACUGGUGUGGGGACAGGAAGGUGUGGGGGCUGGAGGCACGGAGUGAGGAUGUUCAACAGCAUGAAGUGUAGAGAAUCAACAGCCUUCACAUCCAGACUUCACGAAAUUUAAGGAAUGAUCUUGUCUGGUCACAUUCCAGAAGCAGGAGGAAAAAAAAAUAGCAUUUCUGAAGCCAAUGAGUGCCAGUCACUUGAAGAUGGUAAUCUGAACAGGAAGAGCACUGUGACUUACUACUGUCCUUCAGAGAAAAAGGAAGAGGUGCACGUCACAGACGGGAAGUCAGUGAACCAGAGGCAAAGUGAAGUUUAUAGCAUGAACGACUUGUUUUUUUGGUACAAUCCUGUACAUUAAUUGUUACCAGCACGUAUCUCGGAGCUCCUGUCCACACAAUAGUCAUUACUAACACCUGAGUUGAUCUGCACAAGGGCACGGAUUACACGGAAAAAGACAAGUGUUCCCACAUUUUCUAUUACCUGGAGAAGAUUCUUCCUUAAAUGUUAGAAGAAUUGGUGUAUUAUGUCCAGCUUGCAACAACAAAUUUCAAGAUCGCUUACUGGGGGGAAGCCAGCUGCCGUGUCAUGAGUGCCCACUGUGGAAAUGAACUGAAACCUCCUGCCGACAGCCACCCAGGUGAGCUUGGAAUUGGAUGCUCCAGUCCAGCCAAACCCUCAGUUUACUGUAACCCCAGUUGACAGCUUGGCUACUACCUCCCGGGACACCCUGAAGCAGAACCACCCAGCUAAGCUCCUCCUGAAUUCCUGACUCACAGAAACUAUGCAAGAUAAUAAAUAUUUGUUGUUUUAUCUCUUUAAGUUUUGCGGUAAUUUGUUAUGAAGCAAUAAAUAACUAAUAGACUACCCAUGAAUUAAUUCUUUUACUAAUUCAUUUAUUCAACAAGUACCUGUUAAAGUCUACAGUCUUUCAAUCUCUGUAACACACUUCAGUGCGAUAAUAAAACAAUAUAUC
rnacentral:lncRNA from 1 species